GAUGAACGCUGGCGGCGUGCCUAAUACAUGCAAGUCGAGCGAACAGACGAGGAGCUUGCUCCUCUGACGUUAGCGGCGGACGGGUGAGUAACACGUGGAUAACCUACCUAUAAGACUGGGAUAACUUCGGGAAACCGGAGCUAAUACCGGAUAACAUGUUGAACCGCAUGGUUCAACAGUGAAAGACGGUCUUGCUGUCACUUAUAGAUGGAUCCGCGCCGCAUUAGCUAGUUGGUAAGGUAACGGCUUACCAAGGCAACGAUGCGUAGCCGACCUGAGAGGGUGAUCGGCCACACGGGAACGGAGACACGGUCCAGACUCCUACGGGAGGCAGCAGUAGGGAAUCUUCCGCAAUGGGCGAAAGCCUGACGGAGCAACGCCGCGUGAGUGAAGAAGGUCUUCGGAUCGUAAAACUCUGUUAUUAGGGAAGAACAAAUGUGUAAGUAACUAUGCACGUCUUGACGGUACCUAAUCAGAAAGCCACGGCUAACUACGUG
rnacentral:rRNA from 1 species